AAGCGCUUGCAAUCAGACUUGCACUUGGUGUUCAUCAGGGUCUCGUACCCUGUGUACUUCAUCAAGUUCAGGCCAGCAUCAGUUUGAGUGGUUAGAUAAAGGCUUAGAGAAUGUGGCCCUCUUCGGGGGGUGUUAUAGCUCUAGGUGCAAUGUAGCCUACUUGGACUGAGGACCGCGCUUCGGCUAGGAUGCUGGCGUAAUGGUUGUAAGCGA
rnacentral:rRNA from 1 species